rnacentral:rRNA from 1 species
UACGGAAGGCAGCAGUGGGGAAUAUUGCACAAUGGGCGCAAGCCUGAUGCAGCCAUGCCGCGUGUAUGAAGAAGGCCUUCGGGUUGUAAAGUACUUUCAGUCGUGAGGAAGGUGUUAAGGUUAAUAACCUUAGCAAUUGACGUUAGCGACAGAAGAAGCACCGGCUAACUCCGUGCCAGCAGCCGCGGUAAUACGGAGGGUGCGAGCGUUAAUCGGAAUUACUGGGCGUAAAGGGCACGCAGGCGGUUAAUUAAGUUGGAUGUGAAAUCCCCGGGCUUAACCUGGGAAUGGCAUUCAAGACUGGUUAGCUAGAGUCUUGUAGAGGGGGUAGAAUUCCAUGUGUAGCGGUGAAAUGCGUAGAGAUGUGGAGGAAUACCGGUGGCGAAGGCGGCCCCUGGGACAAAGACUGACGCUCAUGUGCGAAAGCGUGGGGAGCAAAACAGGAUUAGAUACC